rnacentral:rRNA from 1 species
UAGGGAAUCUUCCGCAAUGGACGAAAGUCUGACGGAGCAACGCCGCGUGAGUGAAGAAGGAUUUCGGUUCGUAAAACUCUGUUGUUAGGGAAGAAAAAAUGUAUAGUAACUAUAUACAAAAGAGACGGUACCUAACCAGAAAGCCACGGCUAACUACGUGCCAGCAGCCGCGGUAAUACGUAGGUGGCAAGCGUUGUCCGGAAUUAUUGGGCGUAAAGCGCGCGCAGGUGGUUGAGAAAGUCUGAUGUGAAAGCCCACGGCUCAACCGUGGAGGGUCAUUGGAAACUAAUAAACUUGAGUGCAGGAGAGAAGAGUGGAAUUCCUAGUGUAGCGGGGAAAUGCGUAGAGAUUAGGAGGAGAACCGGUGGCGAGAGCGGCUUUUUGGCCUGCAACUGACACUGAGGCGCGAAAGCGUGGGGAGCAAACAGG